rnacentral:tRNA from 1 species
GGGUUGUAGCUCAGUGGUAGUACACGUGCCUAGUAUGCAAGAGGCUCUGGGUUCCAUCCCCAGUAACUAACA